rnacentral:lncRNA from 1 species
CUCUCACUGUGAAACUUCUUGCAAGUUUUCACAGCAACAAAGAUGUCUUCCUUCUUUACAGGCUCCCCCUGUAAGAAAAGCAGGAAUAUAAGAAUUAGACAUAUAUUUUAGGGCCCAGAGUUUUUCCUGGUCAGGUCACAUGAUCAGGAAAAACACUGGUCUCUAGUUAUGAAACAUACAUCCUAAGAGGGGAGCUGUUAUCGUUGUUGAAGCACCACUAACUUUUUCAAAUUCCCUGCCUGUGUUGAAGAGACCUUGUGAAUCUUGACACGUUCCUCAAGAUGACACAUGCGGUAUUAUUAGGUUAUUAUUUGAGAGUGAACUGUAAAUUGGCCAUCUUUAUUUAGGUGAUCAGUUCUCCUGCAUGUCUGUCUGUGGCUCUCAGGCUGAUGCCAGAGGGAGGCCAUACACCCUGCUUAUAGACUGUCCUCAGCCUCUCUGAGUAGUAUACUAUAAAGGGAAUAGGGUGCAAUUUGGGAUGCAGCCCUGUGAGUUUUCUCUGUCUUCUCGACAUAUUAAAGCUCUGGCCAGGUUAGUGGGAAGAUGUGGAGAAAAGGUACGAGGGAGGAAGGGUAGGAGAAAGACUAAAAGAAGAGAGCUAGCAUAUUCAUAGAUCAGAGGGGGAGAAAGGGUAGGAGGGAGGAAGGGUAGGAGGGAGACUAAAAGGAGAUAACCAGCAUAGUCAUAGAUCAGAGGGGGAGGGAGGAAGGGUAGAAGGGAGACCAAAAGGAGAGAGCCAGCAUAGUCAUAGAUCAGCAGGGGAGAAAGGGUAGGAGGGGGGAAGGGUAGGAGGGGGACUAAAAGGAGAUAACCUGCAUAGUCAUAGAUCAGAGGGGGAGAAAUGGUAGGAGGGAGAAAGGGUAGGAGAUGGACUAAAAGGAGAGAGCCAACCAGCAUAGUCAUAGAUAAGAGGGGACAAAGGGUAGGAAGGAGGAAGGGUAAGAGGGAGACUAAAAGGAGAUAACCAGCAUAGUCAUAGAUCAGAGGGAGAGGGAGGAAGGGUAGGAGGGAGACUAAAAGGAGAUAACCAGCAUAGUCAUAGAUCAGAGGGGGAGGGAGGAAGGGUAGGAGGGAGACCAAAAGGAGAGAGCCAACCAGCAUAGUCAUAGAUCAGAGGGGACAAAGGGUAGGAGGGAGGAAGGGUAGGAGGGGGACUAAAAAGAGAGAGCCAACCAGCAUAGUCAUAGAUCAGAGGGGGAGAAAGGGUUUGGAGGGAGUACGAAAAUGUAUGUACUCACUACUGUAAGUCACUCUGGUUAAGAGUGUCUGCUAAAAGACUAAAACAUAAUUUAAAUGUAAUACAAUUAGGGAGGAAUGGUAGGAGGGAGGAAGGGUAGAAGAAAGACUAAAAGGAGAGAGCCAGGAGAAAGAGUAAAAGGAGAGAGGGCACCUUGUUCUCUCUGAGCACUUUAUCAAAUGUUCAGAUCAGGCUGAGGAAAGGCAACACUUCCAGGGGUACAAGUCAGACAGACUGACAGGCACCAAGAACAGAGGGCAUAUAUUAAGCGUAUCUGAGUUCAAACUAAUAGGCCAGAGCUCAACACAGUGGUUUGUGUUGGGUGGGCAGCGGCAGUCCUCAAUGGCCAUGUUGCUGGCAUCACACUUUUCAGCACUUCACACCUGAUUUAAAUGAACGAAUAACUACUUUUUAUUUUAGCCCACAAUUGGAUUCAUCAGGUGUACUGCUGUGGGGCUGGAGAAAAGGUGUGACACCAACACGGCUCUUGAGGGCUGCAGCUGCCCGCCGCUAUGAGACGGAAUUCCAGUAUGGAGGGUGUAGCCUGCUGAAGAGUGUCUCACCCAGGAAUGUAAAGUACUGGAAGAGGAUUUGAGAGUUCUUUAAAAUAUCGCUUGAGGGAGAAAGAAGAUUUGAGCAAUAAGGUCAUCCUGAGAUUCCUCUCCAACUUUCUGAUAGUUUGCAUGCAUAUAGACUGACUUAAUCAUCGUUCCUGGGGGGUGGAGCAGACUUGGGUCCAAAGCAUGCAUCUUUUUCCUCCAAAAUACUUGGUUUUAGUGGGUGGUGUUGGCACUUUUGGGACUAUUCCAUUGGUGCAAUUCCAUUUAAACCCCAAUCAAGUGCACCAAGUAAGAAAGCUGAAACAAAAAAAAUACUAUUAUUUCGACCAAGAUCUGUGGUGAACAAUAGACCUGUGAUGUACAGUAUGCACAACUUGGUACCUACACACAGGGGAGCAGGUCUCCUGAGCGUGGUAGCACAGUGUUGGGCAGUGGGAGAGUGUUCUGGCUCAGUACACAGCUCUGGGACUGCCGUCAGACGAGGCCCUUG